CUUUCAGUUUCAUCUCUGCAGCGUGCUGUGAUCGGCACAGCAGAGCAGCAUUAAGAGGGGGCAUGGGGGACAAAUUACUACUCCUCCCCUCACCCCACUGCUAGAGCCUUUAAUCAUUGCAGCCACUGCUGCAGUGAACAAGAAAUUCUUGGUCCGAAAAGGGGGCGGGGCUAAACGGCACUGUACACACAGUGCCACCAUGCCAGCCAGCAACAGCGUGGGAGAGAGGAGGGGAGAAGAGCAGCACAGCCUAAACAUACGCCAGAGAAGCAGCACAGCCAGGCCACAGCCAACACUGCCGAGAGAUGCAGAUGGUGGCAAUGCCGGUUCUUCUUCGGCAAAUCCACCAACACUAAGGCGCCCAUCACAGGGCUCGCUUACUGUGGCAACGAGGCCACCCAAGAGACGCCGUCUUGAGGGUCCAGCUCCAGCACCAGCAUCACCACCCCAACGGCGCAUCUCACAGUGUCGGCCGUGCCACCACUAGUUCUAUUGGCCAGCCCCCAAAGUGAGGAUCCACAAUCCCCGCAGUUGUCUGACCCAGCCAUCAUCACCGAGGAUGCCCAGCAGGAACGUGACCAGGAGACCUUCACACUUCACCUGCAGCCCAUCGAUCCGACUCAGACAACCACGCCGCAGGACAUACCCCAACCACCCCAAACAUCCCACAGCCCCCAAUUGAGCACAACACAAGUUGACACACAAAUGGGCCCUGAGUUUUGGAGCCGUUGGUCGUCACAACAGGCGCAAUACUGCGCAAGCCUCAACACCCACAGCCAAUACCUGUCAAGUCUGCCCCAUCAUUUGCCUAGACUGAGUCGCAACUCAGGCAGACUUAUAGUGCAGGUGGGCAGAAUCGCUAACUCCAUGGAACAGAUGAGAGCAGACAACACCCAAAUGCAGUCAAACCUCCAACGCAUCUUGGAUGAUCAGCAGCGGCAGCAACAAUCACUUAUACCGAUCAUACAACACUAUCAAAUGAUCAACGACAACCUCUCACGCAUGAUAGCUAACAACACUGCCGCUAACACUCAGCUCACAGCAAGCUUGAACAAUCUAAGUCAAAGCCUUAGUGUGUUGGCAUCACACCAUGCCACAUCUAGUUCUGGGACAACGACACCAAGCCACACCCCAGUUCAUUCCCCAGUCCGACGCUCAAGUCGAACCCGCACCAACGAGCCAGCACAAUCCUCGGCACCCAGCACACAAAGAAAAAAACAUUAAUAAUGUUCGGUCAGAAUAUAUUGACCAUUACAGUGUUUUUCUUUUAGAUUGGUCGCAAAAAGUUGUGUGUUAAAAUUAAUAAAUUGUGAACACGCAAUAUGUGUAUUGUUUAAUUAGCUCCACAAACCACAUGCACAUUAGUGUCUUGGGCCAGAUGUGGAUUGUUAGACAUAUAUUGCCUGCCCCUAGGUGUACUCAACUCAACAUGUGUGUAAGCUAUGUCACCCAGCACAUUGUCCAUGGCCGCAAGAUUAGAUAAAGCUACCCUGACUGCAUAACACUGCGACUCCUGGGUAGGGAAGCAGAGAGAGGCAUCUAUGUAGCCAUCCAAGACAUCCAAAACCUGAGUGGCCCUUCAAAAAUUAAACGUGAGUGUCAUGACCUGUAAUCAAUACAAUACUGUUUUCUAUUACAUUACAGAAGCUCCACUUAGACAUAGACGUGUAUGUAUGUUUUAACUCACCUGAAUUAAAUAUUUUUAAAAGGUGGCCUGUGAGAUACUAAUUACAUUGCCAGUCACAGGCUGGAAACUGCUGGUAGCCAUAAAGUGCAACACAGGCAGGAGUUUGGGCAGGCCUGAGACAGAGCGAGAGCGUACUGUCUCAGGGUCUAGGGUCAGUUUGACAAGGUCAUACAGAGGGAAAAAAAUAAUUACAUUUAGUCUGAGCAUCUGUAUAACAUGGUCAUCAGCAAUUUUGUUAUCGUUUAAAGUUCGAAAAAAAAACAAGCCAUGGCCAGCCUAUGCGGAACAUGUACAACCUGCUUACCCUGUUGACUUUCCUGGCCAGGGUUUAUUGUAGCCUCAUGGAGCAGUGUCAGGUAUCCCCCAGCAAACAAGACAGCAGUACUACACACAGUAGCAGCCAUUUCAGAUUGAGAGUGGUGAAAAAUGUGCUUGGGUCCCUUUUAAAGGUCCAAAAAGUCAGGUGUGACUAAUGUAGAAUUGACAACACAUGUAAACACGCUUCUCAAAAGCAGGUCUACUUUUUUUUAGGCUUUUUGUACGAUUAGUAAUUUUUUGCGGCCGCAAAUCCAUUUUCACGGUUGAGAUUUCAAAUACGAAUGCUUAGUAAAUGACCGAGUUCUAGAUCUAAACAGCCGCGUUUGACCGAAGGUGUAUUCAUUCGUAUUUUUACUACACAGCCGUAAUAAAAAUACGAAUACCCUCAUCACUGCCGUGAUUUGAGUUUAGUAAAUUCCCGAGAUGACACUUUGAAGAAAAAACACCAUCUCGGUCAAAAUCGGGAGCUUAGUAAAUUUCCCUAUGUGUCGGUUCUUGGGAUGUUUGAAUAAAUUAGUUAAGUUGGAUUGGAAUCGUGAAAUAUAAUUAGAUGGCUUGAAUUGUGAAAUCAGCACAUAAGUAUUAUGUUGUAGUUUAUACAUUCUGGAAUGUAGUAGAGUCUUUCAGAUAUAUGUUGGUUCAUUCAAGAUAGUUACUGACUUGUGCUUGAACCUGGAAACAAAGGAUGGUGGCAUUGUUAUAGUUUUGUGAAGUGAUAACUAUAACCAUAUGCUGAAAUCAGUGUUUUUGGAUUGGACAUGGAAUAUAAUUAGUUGGAUUGAAAUGUGCCUGAAUGAGUUAGUUCAUACAAAAAUGGCUGCUGGCAUGUGAAAUUUUAUGGCCUAACAAAGAAUGCCAUGUGCUUGAACCUGGAAACAUAAGAUGGCUGCUCGCAUUACAAUUGACCAUGCAGUCAGAUGCUGCACCUCCCCUCACCCUCACACAUACAUAACCCAAAAUCAAUAUUCCCCUUAGAUGUUUCUUCAGAUAGAUAUUUCUCCUAUAUCUAUCAAUAAAUCUAGGGAUUGAUUUUUAUUGAAUCUGUGAUUUGCCGAGUGUGUGGAGUAAUAUUUCCCCAGUAAUAAAUAUCUAUAUACAUACACACAUAAAUACACUUCUCACACUCGUCUUUCAUGCUAUUUCUUUCUUAGAUAGGCUG